GAGGGCAAGUCUGGUGCCAGCAGCCGCGGUAAUUCCAGCUCCAAUAGCGUAUAUUAAAGUUGCUGCAGUUAAAAAGCUCGUAGUUGAAUUUCGGGACUAAUAUGUUGGUCGUGCCUCGGUACGUACUGAUAUUUUUGGUUUCUCCCUUCUGACGAACCUUGAUGUCAUUAAUUUGGUGUCUUGGGAAAUCAGGACUGUUACUUUGAAAAAAUUAGAGUGUUUAAAGCAGGCUCACGCUUGAAUACAUUAGCAUGGAAUAAUGAAAUAGGACGUUUGAUUCUAUUUUGUUGGUUUCUAGGAUCGACGUAAUGAUUAAUAGGGAUAGUUGGGGGCAUUAGUAUUCAAUUGUCAGAGGUGAAAUUCUUGGAUUUAUUGAAGACUAACUACUGCGAAAGCAUUUGCCAAGGAUGUUUUCAUUAAUCAAGAACGAAAGUUAGGGGAUCGAAGACGAUCAGAUACCGUCGUAGUCUCACC
rnacentral:rRNA from 1 species